AAAUGGAGCCAGAUCUUCACCUGAAUCUGUUGUUAAAAGUACUUUAAAGACAAUACAUGCACAUGUUCACUGUGAUAAAGGUUGCAUUCCCCAUCCAUGAGGCUCCCUUAUUUUCAUGUGAAUCUAGAGCACCACUACAGCUGCCAGUAUCUUUUGGUUUGUUAUCAUUGAACAACUUGUAUGAACUGUAUGCAAUUACACUAUUACUGUCUGCCAAUCCAGCUUUAUAAUCUGUCUUUUAUGAAAAAGUAUAGUUAGCAUUGCUUUGAUGCCUGGUAAGAGUGACCCUCUCAGUAAAGACAGGGUUCUGCAUAAAAUGCUUACAAAUGGGGAUAAAUAAUAGUCGUAAGUGAAUGAAAAGGGGGAGGUCAAUUAAAUACAGCUAUGUUUAUUUGAAUGUAGACAUCUGAGCAUGUUUGUGUUUAUAUAUUAAGAGUACUGUAUUUUUUGGUGUGCUUUUAUGGGUUCAGUGAAGUAUAAUUGGUUUGGAUUUGCUUAAAAUUGAACUUCUUUUACCAAAAUAGAAAAAGUAGUAUUUUACAGAACUGUCUAGCAUAUUUUAUUGGGCUUCUACCAUAAAGCUAGAUUGACGAUACUCAACUUCGGUAAAAGUGCCUGAAGAUUUUUUUUUUAACUGAUGCAAAAGUCUUUUAUUUUUAUGAUAGAGACAACCUAAAACCCCAAGGAUUUGGCCAGACUUCAUGAAAUAAGCUUUGACCAACUUACUGGAAAAAGUAAUUACUACAAAGGUGUGGAGGCAGACAAAGCAAUAAAGAACCCUGAAUGUUCCUCUCUACUGUGUUCAUCUGAGGGCUUCAUUCCAAAAUGUUGGCUUCUGACCCUGAUGUGUUUAGCCACGCUUAAACUUUCUUAUAUGAAGCAACCUUUAAAAAAGAUCAGAUCUACAGAGUCAAGAUACUUGCCUUGGAAUGUGGCUGGAACCAGAUUUUGUAGUUGGAUACUUGGACUUCACAAUUGGGUACUAGUUUUCUCCUGAUAGUAGGACCAAAAUUGUUGACACACAGCACAGUGAUCUUGCUUGUAAAGAGGAAUACGGUGUUGUUAUAACAAUGUUUAUUCAUCUUGUACUGGAGGGGGGUGAUGUUGGUCUAAUCAUUGCAUUAACUACUAGUGACAUGGUUGGGGGUUUUGUGAUGUAAAAACUCCUACUUUUUUUUUUUUUUUUUUUUUUCUCCAGGGCUCCUGGGAAACACAGUUGUUGCAAAGGUGGGGUGACAGCACUGAC